AUUGAACGCUGGCGGCAGGCCUAACACAUGCAAGUCGAGCGAGCGGCGCACGGGGGAGAUAUGUCUGGGAAACUGCCUGAUGGAGGGGGAUAACUACUGGAAACAGUAGCUAAUACCGCAUACCAUCAGAUGUGCCCAGAUGGGAUUAGCUAGUAGGUGGGGUAAUGGCUCAACUAGGCGACGAUCCCUAGCUGGUCUGAGAGGAUGACCAGCCACACUGGAGCUAAGACACGGUCCAGACUCCGACGUGAGGCAGCAGUGGGGAAUAGUGAACAAUGGGCGCAAGCCUGAUGCAGCCAUGCCGCGUGUGUGAAGAAGGCCUUCGGGUUGUAAAGCACUUUCAGCGGGGAGGCGUUACCCGCAGAAGAAGCACCGGCUAACUCCGUGCCAGCAGCCGCGGUAAUUC
rnacentral:rRNA from 1 species